rnacentral:misc_RNA from 1 species
GAUGAAGAACGCAGCGAAAUGCGAUAAGUAAUGUGAAUUGCAGAAUUCAGUGAAUCAUCGAAUCUUUGAACGCACAUUGCGCCCCUUGGUAUUCCGAGGGGCAUGCCUAUUCGAGCGUCAUUAUCGCCCCUCAAGCCUAGCUUGGUGUUGAGGCCUGCUGUCAAGGCAGCCUCUAAAAUCAGUGGCAGUGCUGUCAGGCUCUAAGCGUAGUAAAUCUAAUCGCUAUAGACACCUGGUGGACACUCGCCAGAACCCCCCCAUUUUUUAAUGAUUGACCUCGGAUUAGGUAGGGAUACCCGCUGAACUUAAGCAUAUCAAUAAGCGGAGGA